UUUCCCUCUCUCUUUCUCCUUAUUUUUUUACCGAUUUGUUUUUUAUCAUUUUCUUUCCUCAUUCUUUCUUGGUUUGGUUUAUUCUUCCCGAUUUUAUAUCGUUCCGGGUACAAAUUAAUUUUUAAAAGGUUAAGAACGAUAAUUCAUUUUGUGGUGAACUAAAAAACUUUUCUUUUUUUUAUCAAACUUCUACUUACAUUAAUAAUGGAUUGAAAACUUAAUUAUCUUCACUAUCAUCUUAACUUUUAUUACAAUAAUACUAACUAUAAUUGAAAUAAUCACAUUACACGAUUACUAAUGU
rnacentral:lncRNA from 1 species